GGGAGCUUAGCUCAGCUGGUUUAGAGCAUCUGCCUUACAAGCAGAGGGUCGGCGGUUCGAUCCCGUCAGCUCCCACUA
rnacentral:tRNA from 1 species